rnacentral:tRNA from 1 species
GCUAUUUUGACAGAUAAAUGUGAUGGUUUUAGAAAUCAUUAAUAUAUAAUUUAAUUAUAUAAAUAGUA